rnacentral:rRNA from 1 species
UACGUAGGGGGCAAGCGUUGUCCGGAUUUAUUGGGCGUAAAGAGCGUGUAGGCGGCUAGAUAGGUCCGUUGUGAAAACUCGAGGCUCAACCUCGAGACGUCGAUGGAAACCAUCUGGCUAGAGUCCGGAGGAGGAGACUGGAAUUCCUGGUGUAGCAGUGAAAUGCGUAGAUAUCAGGAGGAACACCGAUGGCGAAGGCAGGUCUCUGGGCUGAAACUGACGCUCAUGCACGAAAGCGUGGGGAGCAAACAGG